rnacentral:lncRNA from 1 species
CUGAUGUUCCUUCAGAGGCCCAGGUCCCUUUAAUUUACAAGACACACUUCUUGGAGCUUGCAACGGUGUUGGGAUCCUUCUACAGCCCUGACCUUUCCUUUGGCCACCAGCCAAAUAAGCCAAAAAUUCCUGGAAAUACAGCACGUCUGCUUGACCACAGGCUGGGUUUCUCUGUGCAGCCCUGGCUGUCCUGUAACUCAUGCUGUAGACCAGGCUGACCUUGAACUCACAGAGAUCUACCUGCCUCUGCCUCUUGAAUGCUGGGAUUAAAGAUUCCCUCGCCCAAACCGUGAAAUGCUGUAGCACUGGCCAUUACUACAAAUGGAGGUCCCACCGAGAUCGGGAAAUCAGGAAAUACACACUGAAGGGUCACCCAGGAAGGCUGGCCAGCAUAAAGGCCUGAAAGCAAGAAUGGCAAGAAUGCAAAUUAUCUGCCCAUUGCCAGGGGGCUUGGGGACAUGGACCUUGAUCUGAG